AAGAGCUUCAAAUUGGUUGUUCAUGGUGGUUGGUGUAUUGAUGGUAAUGUCAAUGGAAUCUGAACUUUUGGGAUGAAAGAGGCAAGUCAAAGUUCCAAAAAAAAACAUGGGUUAGUUUUGUGUUUGACUUCAAGUUUUGAGUCAUAUUUUCAAAAAUUCCUAAUUAAUUUUAUGGUUAAUUUAAUGAGAACUAUAUAAUAUAUGUUUAGUGGAUCAACAUAUUUUUUAAAAACUUAAAAAAAAAUUAUUGAUGACAUG
rnacentral:lncRNA from 1 species